rnacentral:lncRNA from 1 species
CAAGAACGAAGGCGCGACGGAGGCAGACGGAGCUGGAUGAAGGCGCGACUGGGGGAGCUUGAUGAAGGCGCGGCGGACUCAGGGAAGGCGCGGCAAAUUGGGAUUUGGGGGGAGGCGAAAUAGAUAGAGAAGUGUUAGGGCUGUUAGGAACGAAAAUCUUUUUCCUUUUUCUUUUGUUUAAUUUUUAUUAUUCAAUUUUGGUAUUUAGGUUUCUAAUAAUAUUUUCAGAUUUUAUUUAAGUGUUAUUUAAUAAAAAAAAUGUUAUGAGUUUUUUUUUUCUCAAAGUCUAUAUAUAGGAAUAAAUUCAGAUUUUAGGAUAAAUAAUUUAUAUGUUAUUUUUUAAUAUAAUAUAAUAUAAUUUUAAAAAAAUUAAUAAAAAAAAUUAAUAAAAAAAAUUAUACACAACAGUUUUUAGAUACGCUCAAAGA